UAAACAUAAAGUUUAUAAACAUUCUUUUAAAAACCUGUCUCUCUUACAAUAUAAUAUUACUUGGGUUUACAGUCUAUUACUGCCUUUCUACUUUUGACAUAACUGAAGUGUGGACCUACAGCUGGCUGAUGUUGCAGUUUCCUUAUUUUGUGCUUAUCUUAUUCACCCAUAUAAUUAAACAUGGUGUAGUGGACGACGCAAUGAGCGUUGAAUCACCCUGGAGCAUUGAUUCAGCCGGAGAAGAAAUAGCACUAAAAAUUAAAAGAGAAUCAAAGCUUCUGAAUAUUUUCACUGUCGUAAAUACAGUGUUUGUGAUUGUGGCGGUAAUUCUCUUUAGUUACCCUCAAGCCAAUGAUGAGCAAAUUAUUUUCUAUUUGUACAAAUUUCGUGAACAAUUUCCGUACCAAAACUGGAUUUUUAGUAUACUGAACAAAUUAAAUAUUUAUAUGUUUGGUCUCGUAGUUCCAGCGCACUCAUAUCAAGUAAUAUAUGUCUCACAACAUUGGAGAUUUCAGAUGUGCAUGCUCAAUAAGUACAUACAAGAGUUAGACAACUACUCGAACAGAGGUAGCAUAGCUCUAUUGCACAACGAAAGCUACCAGAAAGAGAUCACAGCCAGGCUAAAAUUUUGUAUAAAAAGACACCAAGAGAUCAUUCAUGUUACAGCUGAAUCAGUUAAAAUAGCAGGACCUUUCAUUGUACCAUUUCUAAUAACUGGUCUCUUUUUGGGAACAGGUCAAGUUUUGUCGAUACUUGAAGUUUUAGACGGAGUUCCGAUUCAGUUGUGGCGGAUUGCCUGUUUAAGCAUUGCUACUUUAAUUUGUGCUUCUUGUUUCCUUCUGAGUGGGCAAUCAAUCGAAUCAGAAUCGGAACGUAUUUUCUCCACACUGAUACAAUUAGACUGGUACAACUGGAAUAAUAAAAACAGAAGGUUGCUUUUAACUGUUUUGGCUAACAGCUUGAAGCCAAUUCAAUUUAAAUUUGCAACAACUUUUGUUAUAAACUAUGUCGCGGGA